rnacentral:rRNA from 1 species
AAACAUCGCCUCCUGCAACAAAACUACGUAUAGGAGGUCCAGCCUGCCCAGUGACUACAAGUUCAACGGCCGCGGUAUUUUGACCGUGCAAAGGUAGCGCAAUCACUUGUCUUUUAAAUAGAGACCUGUAUGAAUGGCCAAACGAGGGCUUAACUGUCUCCCCUUUCCAGUCAGUGAAAUUGAUCUGCCCGUGCAGAAGCGGACAUAAUAAUACAAGACGAGAAGACCCUUUGGAGCUUAAGGUACAAAACUCAACCACGUCAAGCAACUUAAUAAAAAGCAAAAACUUUGUGGAAUAUGAGACUUUACCUUCGGUUGGGGCGACCACGGAGGAAAACAAAGCCUCCAAGUGGAUUGGGAAAACCUCCUAAAACCAAGAGAGACAUCUCUAAGCCACAGAACAUCUGACCAAACAUGAUCCGGCCACCUAAAGCCGAUCAACGAACCAAGUUACCCUAGGGAUAACAGCGCAAUCCUCUCCCAGAGUCCAUAUCGACGAGAGGGUUUACGACCUCGAUGUUGGAUCAGGACAUCCUAAUGGUGCAGCCGCUAUUAAGGGUUCGUUUGUUCAACGAUUAAAGUCCUACGUGA